rnacentral:rRNA from 1 species
GACGGGGGCCCGCACAAGCGGAGGAACAUGUGGUUUAAUUCGAUGAUACGCGAGGAACCUUACCCGGGCUUGAACUGCAGGUGAACGAUCCAGAGAUGGUGAGGUCCUUCGGGACACCUGUGGAGGUGCUGCAUGGUUGUCGUCAGCUCGUGCCGUGAGGUGUCGGCUUAAGUGCCAUAACGAGCGCAACCCUUUUCUCUAGUUGCCAUCAGGUUAAGCUGGGCACUCUGGAGACACUGCCACCGUAAGGUGUGAGGAAGGUGGGGAUGACGUCAAAUCAGCACGGCCCUUACGUCCGGGGCUACACACGUGUUACAAUGGGGAGUACAGCGAGUCGGUUGUAUGCAAAUGCGAUCCAAUCAUGAAAGCUCUCCUCAGUUCGGAUUGGGGUCUGCAACCCGACCCCAUGAAGCUGGAUUCGCUAGUAAUCGCGCAUCAGCCAUGGCGCGGUGAAUACGUUCCCGGGCCUUGUACACACCGCCCGUCAAGCCAUGAAAGCCGGGGGCGCCUGAAGUCCGUGACCGCGAGGGUCGGCCUAGGGUGAAACCGGUGAUUGGGGCUAAGUCGUAACAAGGUAGCCGUACCGGAA